AGGACCUUCAAUAGCCCACAAGAGUUACACUCCUGUAAGAUGCAUCCAGAGCUUGUCUUUCCCCCUUGAAAGAAGGGGGACCUGUCUAUGGCUACUGAUUAUUUUGUGUUCAUCUUUACUUUUCUCUGAGAAUAUUUCUAGCUCUGGAUGAGGUAGACUCCCUUGGGAUUCAGAUGGCAGGAUGAGUCUCCCACCUCUGGACCUGUACUGAUAACUACCUGGGCAAGGGGAAUGCCCAGUCAGGUUACCAGAACACUCCAAAAAGUAAGAGUCACUGGUUGAGAAGGGGAGUAACUCUAAGGUGGACAGUGGAUGCAAGGGCCUCCUGUUGAGCCUACUGAAACUAUACCCCUCCAGUGGAAACACCAGCUGCCCUCCCCAAGGAUUAAUCUUUGUAGAUGGAGUUUCUCUCCCUGCCCCUGUAGGAGUACAGAUCAGACUGAAAGGACCAAAUUCUCAGACAGUAGAGGCUUGGGUCCACAUAAAAGUGCACCCUCAUGACUGUGUAUCCAGUUACUCUUUCAGUGUGGCCUGCAUGGCUCACUUGUAACAGCCACUUGUGAGUAAUGCAGCCAUCCCAAUGCUAAUAAAACAUGUAUCCCUUAACACAACAGCAUGUGUUCUCUAUAGGGUAUGUACUAGAUCCCCAGCUUGACUUCUGUGGAGCUAUGCCAAUGGACAGCAGCUGAGGAUCUACCCUUUUGCAAUUAUAAGUCAGCAUAGUUCACAUUUAACUGUCUAAUCAUUUCAUACCAAUGGAUUUUUUGUAAAGUACUUCCAUCUACCAUAGAGAUGGUAGAAUUGUAUUUGAGGAGAUAAUGUUUUAUUUAAAAAUAUUACUGUUAUGUUUUGCUAGAUUCACUAUUUUGAAAAAUAAGAAUAUAUUUACUGUAAACAUUGUUAUGGUUCUACAUUAUGGCUAUAUUUUACUGUAGAGUAACAAAUCUUGCCAUGAUUAACACUGGUGCAGAUAA